rnacentral:lncRNA from 1 species
GUGUCCAUAGUUCUUCUCUCUUCUCCCUCAACCACAUCUCACUGUUGCUCUCCUCAUCUUGCCUCACCGCAAUCAACUUCGUCCGCCGCCCGUCCUCCAAUCUCAAACCCUCAUCGCCGCCAAUUUCACACACAGGAAUGGAAUGAAACAUUUACAUAAUAUGAAGUUCUUGAUGAAAUCAAACACAAAAUCAAAAGCUGCUUCCAAAUAAAACUCCAAUCAUAUAAAUAGUCCAACGAAACUACUUAAUAGAUUUUGAG